GGCCCCAUGGUCAAGUGGUUAAGACACCGCCCUUUCACGGCGGUAACAGGGGUUCGAAUCCCCUUGGGGUCA
rnacentral:tRNA from 1 species